CUCCGGUUGAUCCUGCCGGACCUGACUGCUAUCGGAUUGGUACUAAGCCAUGCGAGUCGUUGUAGCAAUACAAGGCGGACGGCUCAGUAACACGUAGUCAACCUAACCUAUGGACGUGGAUAACCUCGGGAAACUGAGAAUAAACCGCGAUAGAUCAUUAUGCCUGGAAUGGCUUAUGGUUCAAACAAUUUAUUGCCGUAGGAUGGGACUGCGGCCUAUCAGCUUGUUGGUGGGGUAAUGGCCCACCAAGGCUAUAACAGGUACGGGCUCUGAGAGGAGAAGCCCGGAGAUGGGUACUGAGACACGGACCCAGGCCCUAUGGGGCGCAGCAGGCGAGAAACCUUAGCAAUGUGCGAAAGCACGACUAGGUUAAUCCGAGUGAUUUCUGUUGAAGAAAUCUUUUGUCAGUCGUAAAACCACAGACGAAUAAGGGGUGGGCAAGUCUGGUGUCAGCCGCCGCGGUAAUACCAGCACCUCGAGUGGUCAGGAGGUUUAUUGGGCCUAAAGCAUCCGUAGCCGGCUACGCAAGUCUCCGGUUAAAUCCAGCUGCUCAACAGAUGGGCUGCCGGAGAUACUACAUAGCUAGGGAGCGGGAGAGGUAGACGGUAUUCUGUGGGUAGGGGUAAAAUCCACUGAUCCAUAGAGGACCACCAGUGGCGAAGGCGGUCUACCAGAACGCGUUCGACGGUGAGGGAUGAAAGCUGGGGGAGCAAACCGGAUUAGAUACCCGGGUAGUCCCAGCUGUAAACGAUGCAAACUCGGUGAUGCAUUGGCUUAUGGCCAAUGCAGUGCCGCAGGGAAGCCGUUAAGUUUGCCGCCUGGGAAGUACGGACGCAAGUCUGAAACUUAAAGGAAUUGGCGGGGGAGCA
rnacentral:rRNA from 1 species